CUGAGAGCUGGUUACACUAGUGUGCCCAGGAAAAAAUUCAUCCAGCUGUACACCUAUGAUAUACCCUGCCUCUGUAGAGCCCAGGCCCUACCUAUAGGUAUGUGGCUUCUGGAAACCAAUAAUCUUGGUUGAGACAUUGACUGCCAAUUCCUCACUGGGUGAUCAUGGUAAAACGGACAUAAUAUCUAAAAAGGUUUCACCAGUUGUGAAGAUGAUCAAAAAUUUCAUAUGAAAACAUCAUGCCUUAUCUACAGCAAGUCAUUGCAUUAAUCUGACCUAUACACCCUCAUUUUGAAGAAUCAAGAAUACUUUGGAUUCUCUGAAAUGCUGUCAUAAAGAUAUACUUCAUUUUGAGAAGUGAAUAAGAUAUCUACAAGCGCCUGGAACGGGGCCAGGCAUAUGCUGACUAAUGGACCAGUUCAGACCAUCUUUGUAAGCCUCAGGAAAGAAAAUGGGCACUUCCAAAUAUUAUGUAGACAAAUCAUCAGCAUGGACUCUCAACACUAAAUAGUUCAGCUAUACCCAUGGCAACGACAGCAAUUUCAGG